CAGCCACAUCACUUUGAAACACCGGUUCUUGUUUGAUCACCAAGGUUAAGCAAUAUUGAGCCAGGUCAGUACCUAGAUGGGUGACUGCUAGGGAAUACUAGGUGCUACAA